UAACUAGUUAGGGAAACUUAUUGCUAACUACCCCAAUAAAGCUGAGGAAGUUAAAGGUUAGAAAUACCACCGAUAGGAGGGUCUUGCGUCUGUAUUAGCUAGUUGGUGGGGGUAACGGCCUCCCAAGGCCACGAUCAGUAGCUGGUCUGAGAGGAUGAUCAGCCACACUGGGACUGAGACACGGCCCAGACUCCUACGGGAGGCAGCAGUGAGGAAUUUUCCACAAUGGGCGAAAGCCUGAUGGAGCAAUGCCGCGUGCAGGAAGAAGGCCCGUGGGUCGUAAACUGCUUUUUCAGAGAAGAAGUACUGACGGUAUCUGAAGAAUAAGCACCGGCUAACUCUGUG
rnacentral:rRNA from 1 species